rnacentral:rRNA from 1 species
UUCCAGACUCCUACGGGAGGCAGCAGUGGGGAAUAUUGCACAAUGGGGGAAACCCUGAUGCAGCGACGCCGCGUGAGUGAAGAAGUAUUUCGGUAUGUAAAGCUCUAUCAGCAGGGAAGAAAAAAGACGGUACCUGACUAAGAAGCCCCGGCUAACUACGUGCCAGCAGCCGCGGUAAUACGUAGGGGGCAAGCGUUAUCCGGAUUUACUGGGUGUAAAGGGAGCGUAGACGGUUAUGCAAGUCUGAAGUGAAAGCCCAAGGCUCAACCAUGGGACUGCUUUGGAAACUGUAAAACUGGAGUGCAGGAGAGGUAAGCGGAAUUCCUAGUGUAGCGGUGAAAUGCGUAGAUAUUAGGAGGAACACCAGUGGCGAAGGCGGCUUACUGGACUGUAACUGACGUUGAGGCUCGAAGGCGUGGGGAGCAAACAGGAUUAGAUACCCUAGUA